rnacentral:tRNA from 2 species
UGGGGCGUCGCCAAGCGGUAAGGCAUCGGGUUUUGGUCCCGACAUCCAGAGGUUCGAAUCCUUUCGCCCCAG